GUCGAGGGGCAGCACAAGAUAGCUUACUAUUGAGGUGGCGACCGGCGCACGGGUGAGUAACGCGUAUGCAACCUGCCUGUAAGAGUGGGAUAGCCUCUCGAAAGAGAGAUUAAUACCGCAUAAUACUUUUGAUCUGCAUGGAUUAGAGGUUAAACAUUUAUGGCUUACAGAUGGGCAUGCGUAACAUUAGCUAGUUGGUAAGGUAACGGCUUACCAAGGCGACGAUGUUUAGGGGUUCUGAGAGGAAGGUCCCCCACACUGGUACUGAGACACGGACCAGACUCCUACGGGAGGCAGCAGUGAGGAAUAUUGGUCAAUGGACGGAAGUCUGAACCAGCCAAGUCGCGUGAAGGAUGAAGGUCUUAUGGAUUGUAAACUUCUUUUAUAUGGGAAUAAAAAAUGUCACGUGUGAUAUAUUGCAUGUACCAUAUGAAUAAGGAUCGGCUAACUCCGUGCCAGCAGCCGCGGUAAUACGGAGGAUCCGAGCGUUAUCCGGAUUUAUUGGGUUUAAAGGGUGCGUAGGCGGUCUCUUAAGUCAGCGUUGAAAGUUUUCGGCUCAACCGGAAAAUUGGCAUUGAAACUGGGAGACUUGAGUGUAAAUGAAGUUGGCGGAAUUCGUUGUGUAGCGGUGAAAUGCAUAGAUAUAAC
rnacentral:rRNA from 1 species